rnacentral:lncRNA from 1 species
CAACUAAAUGGCAUAGAAAACAUUCUAUUUCUACCACUGUACAACAUAUAUUUCUUCAAAAGCAGUUGGAACACUUACAAAUAUAGAAUAUAUGCCAGACACAAAGCACAUCUCAAGUGAUUGAUUCUUCAUCAAAAAAGGUAAAUAGAUGACAUGAAAGCAUAUGAAACAAUGUCAGUGUAACUAACCAUCACGUAAAUGCAAAUUAAGUCACUAUAAGAUACCACUAUGCACCCAUUAUAAUGCCUGCCCCAAAUACUGUCAAUAUUAAAUGCUGACAAAUAUGCAGAGCAACUGGAAAUCUUGUUGGUUGGAAUGUAAAAUGGCACAGCCACUUUGCUAAACAGUUUAGCAGGUUUAUUAUAAAAUAAAAUGUACAUCUACAAUCCAGCAAUUCUAUUCCAAGUUAUCUACCCAAGAGAAAUGAAACUUAUGUUCACACAGAAAACUGCACAUGGCUUAUAGUAGCUAUAUUUAUAAUUUCCAAAAUUUAGAAACAACACAGAUGGCUUUCAACCAAUGAAUGAAAAACAAACUGUAGUACAUUCAUACAAUGGAGUACUACUCAGCAAUAAGAAAGAAUGAACUAUUGAUUCAUGCAACAAUGUGGAUCAAACUUGAAUGCAUUUUUCUAAGUCAAAGAAGGCAGAUCCAAAACUGUACAAUUCCAUUGAUAUGACACUGUGAAAAAGGCAAGACUACAGAGAGCAAAACAGUUGACAGUCAUUACCAGCGAUUGGGGUUGGGGUGAAGUCAUCUGUGGAAUUGCACAGAACUUCUGGUAUGAUGGAAUGGCUUUCUAUGGUACUAUGGCGAUGCAUUUUAAUAUAUAAAAUAUAUAUAUAAAAAUUUAAAGUAAUCAAUCAAGAUAUUGAGAGCAGCAUGAAGCAGUUAAUUGCCUAGGGAGAUAGGGACGGGUCCUCAGAGAAACCUCACCUCCAAGCUGGAGACAGUUUAAAGCCUGAAAGCCAAGCUGCAAGUUAAAUCCUCAGACUGGAUUGUGAACUUGCCUUCCCGUUUGGCACAAUUUCCUCCGAUUGGCCCCCACCCUUCACUUAUUUUACAUAUACCUACCCUUUCCCAAUUGGUUUUUCUACAUUGUUCUGCUCACCUUUGAGUGGUAUCUUCACUUUAAUCUUUUUUGCAUAUUCACAAACCAAUCAGCAUGCACCCCAUUCUGAGUUUAUAAAAGGCCCCAGAACCGGCCACAUGGGGGACUUUCCUGCUUUUGGGUAGGGGAACCAUCCCCCAUGUCCCCUUUUUGCUGAGAACUUUCCUUUUGCUUAAUAAAUUCUACUCCACUAACUCCCCAGUGUCGAGGCACCUAAUUCUUCCUAGUUGUGAGACAAGAACUCGGAUCUAGCUGAUCUAAGGAGCAGAAAAACCACAACAUUUUGGUGGCUUGUACAGGGAUACCUGGAGGGUUAGUAAAUACGGACCCAAACUCUCUUUCACUUUCAUUUUCAAGGCUUCUCAUCCUCAGACUUUUUUCUGAAGGCAGAUGAAGCACCAAACCUCGGGUGAGCCAAUUAAGAACAAAUGGCGCAGUUACAGAAGACAGGAUGCAACCCUGCCACCUAUCUCUCUCUUUCAGUGUCCGUGUGCCUAAUUCUUCCUGGUUGUGUGACAAGACCUCGGACUGAGCUGAGCUAAGGAGCAGAAAAACUGCAACAAUAUGAGGGAAAAGACAGAAGGCAGACUGUGACAAAUGAAUUUAACUGUACUACAGAUGAAUUAGAUAACCACAAUGAAGAAGAUGGAAAGAAAGUUGAUGAUCUCCAUAACUUUAGAAAAUGCUUUGGCUUAAUAAUGCAAGGCUAAGGACAAAAAAUAAGUAUAUAUAGACAUAAACUUUAGUUGAUACAUUUGUUUCUCAGAGGGGAAGGAGCCAGAAAUUCUGAAACUACUUUAUUUGUAUAUUAGGGUUGAGCAAGCAAGUAAAUAUGUUAGAAUAUAAUGAGAACCAGGUUUCUCGCUGUCAAUGAAAGAAGCUACAAACAACAAAAAAAGGAAGGAUAAAAUGAACCGUGGUGUUGUAUAGGAGUUCUAGUUACCAAUGUGGAAUCGUGGUUUCUUUAAAACACAUCUAUCUACAUAAGUAGACAUAGAAACAAAUACAGAUGUGUAUAAGCAUGACUUUUUAUACAUAUGUAUUUUUUAUCUCUAUCUACUGAGAAAGCCAAAAGCAGCAGCACCCCAGUAGUCACAAAUAUCAGUGGCAUCCAGAUUUAGAUCUAUGAAUAUAAUUUUUCAAUUAAAAAGACAGGGCUCCUUGGAGGUCUACUUGACUCCAGGGUGAGGGUAAGAAAAAUUUAGGAGAAGUCUGAAGUAUCUGUGAUGACAGAAAAAAGAAAGCACUUAAAAAAUAAGGGAUAGAAGAGGGGAAACAAAGAAAAGAAUGGAGCAUAUAAAAAACACACAGGAACCAACCUAUCUGGGCACAAUGGUGUGCACCUGUAGUCCCAGGCACUUAGAAGGCUAAAGUGGGAAGAUCCCUUAAGCCCAGGAGUUCAAGCCCAGCUUGGGCAACAAAGCGAGACCCCAUCUCUUAAAAACAAAGAAGCCAAUAUGAAUGGUCAAAGUUGAAAAAUAUUGAAUAAGAAAAUAAAUAAUGAUAUUGUUAGAUUAUAAUGAAAAUAAUCAGAUAAUAUCCAUGAGCUUACACUAAUGCAAAUAAAUUAAUGGAUUAAUAAAAUAAAUAGAGGAAAAUACCAACUCUUCAGAAAAAAAUACAAUUAAUAAAGAUAGAAGGAAUGAUAGAAAUAUGAUAUUAUUACUAGAAUCUCAAAGGGAUAAUUGCUCCAGGUAAGAUCCAGCAGUGAAUGUUCAAAUUAGUGGAUAAAAAAAUAUUUUCCGAAACAGGAUAUUUGCAUAGUCUCUAAGUGCCUCUCUCAAAAUAAUUAGGAACCACAAAGAGAUAAAUAGUAAAUAUACCAUGGAGAGGCUAGCAGAUACAACCUUAGUCAAGUGAUCAAGGUGAGCCUCACCAGCAAUGACUUAUGUGAUAUGCCUCCUUCCCCUAUAUGAUAUUACCAAAGAGUACUUCACUUCUGUACUAUUCUUACCACAUAAUCCAUAACCACUGCCUGAACAUGGGAAAACAUCACACAAAUCAUUUGGUGGACACUCUACAAAAUAAAUAAUCAGUAUUCUUCCAAAUAUCAGCGUCAUGGAUAAGGGAGCCUAAGGAAUUGUCAUAGAGUACCUAAAACCAAAGAGACAUGUCACAUAAAUGCAAUGUGGGAUCCUGAACUGAAUUCUGAAACAAAGGAAAGGUCAUUAGUGAAAGACAGUAUUUUACCAAUGUUAAUUUCUUAGUUGUGAUCAAUAUUCCAUGUUAGAUGUUAAUGUAAGGGGAAACUAGGUAAGAGUAUAUAGGAAUUAUGUGUAGCAUUUUUGCAACUCUUCUGUAAUUCUGAAAUUAUUUCAAUUUUUAAAGGUUUUACCUAUGAAAGGGAUAAAGGAUUUAGGAUUAUGGGUCAGGGACAGCCAUUAGAUUUUUUUAAUGAAUACGUUUUGUGUAAUUAUGAUUUUUGAACUAUAUGAAGCUAUUAAUAAUUUAGAACUAAAUUUAAUGUUUUAAAAUAAAUACAAAUAAAAGGAGGUUUUUAAAAAAAUUUAUACUUUAGUUUCUAAAUUGUAUACAGGUUUUUCACAUGGAAUAUGAUAAAAUAAUAUGCACUAUUAGAAAGAAAAUAUGUAAAAAGUAUAACAAAAUUAAAAGAUUUAUGUAGAGUUGGUGGCAGAAAGUAUUCAAGCUUUGAGACCUCAUAACAUCAAAAUGAAGUUUCCAUUGCUAUUGUUUGUGAAGUACAAAAGUACAUUACCAGCUAUGUCAGAAAUAAUUUAGAGAUAAUAGGAAUACCCUGCCUUAAUUAAACUCUUAGUAAAUGUUCAAUGAAUGAGUCACUGUCAUGUUUCUCUGUCUCUUCUACAGACCUCAGUGGACUUGUUCCAAGGAAAAGGAAAGAGGGAUGGAGCAUGGUUUUAUGGCAGCCUUUCCCCAGAAUGAAAUAUACUUUGAGCACAUGAGCUCAUGAGCAGGAGAAAACUGAUCGGAAGGACAUGAUGGCCAUACAAACCUUGUCCUGUAUAUUUUCUAAAAUUAUAUAUCCAUGUUCAGCUGAAAAUUCAAUUUCGAAUACUGGGUUUGGUGCUGCAGUUUUUCAGUUAUUUAAUUGUAUGGAAUAUUUAAAUAUUCCUUAAAUUUGCUGGUGUCAUUGCAUACUAAUUGCACUCUAUUGUGUAAAUUCUAAUUUUAAAAUUUGACUAGAUUUUUUAGUGAGGCUUUGCUAUUGUCAAAGAUGCUAAAGUGAUUAUAUGCCUGGUGUCUCAUCUGUGAUGACAGCUGCUCUAUAGCCCUGCCAUCUAGUAGGCAAUGAUACCUUUAGGUUAUAUUAUGCUUACUCUGAUAAUCUUAAUUUACAUGAAUUAAAAAUCAAUUUGCCUCCAAACUCUAAAACAAUGAACUAGGACACAUUUUUCCCAUUGUAUGCAGUUACUCCAUGUGCUUAGGGAAAUGUAGUACAGUCAGCACUUCAUAUCUAUGGGUUCCUCAUCCAUGGAUACAACCAAUCAUGGAUUGAAAAUAUUUGAAAACAAAAAAAAUUAAAAAUAAGAAUAUAACAAUAAACAAUACAAAUUAAAAACAAUACAGUAUGACAAUUAUUUACAUAGCAUAUAAAUUCUUACAUAUAAUUAGGAAUUAUAAGAAACAUAGAGAUGAUUUAAAGUAUACUGAAGGAUAUGCAUAGGUUAUAUGUAAAUACUAUGCCAUUUUAUAUAAGGGACUUGAGUUUCCACAAAUUUUGAAUGCUGAGGGGUGACUAUAUUCUCAAGAAAGGCUAAAUUAUAUAUUCUUUAGUGCCAGGGUACUUUAUAGUUACGGCAUAUAGUGAUUUGCUCCACCUAUUUGCCAAUUCCCAAAUCUAACUCUGCUCUCCCCAUUAAGUUCGAGAAUAGAGCUCUAUCAGCUCUUUAUAAAACUUGUCCAGCCUUCCUUCCACAUAGUUAUAAAGAAUAAAGGAUGAUUUCUGACACAAAGGCUAGGGAAAUAUCUAAGUGCUUCUUCUUGAUCAGUAUUUCUUACACAGUCAAGGAUAUUUGGUUGGAUUAUUCCCUCUGAUAUGUCCUUUUUCUCAAUCUGAAUGAAAAUUCCAGUUUAAAGUGAUUUCUCUUGUUGGAAAACUGUACUCCUCUGCCAAAUUUUUGUCCUAUCCUCAAACUCCUACUUUGUGUUAAAGUACAUUUUCAUCAUGUCUUGGUCUCUUUAUGUCCUAUGAAGAGGCUUUUUUGCUCGUGAAUGUUUUUGCAUGGUGGUGUUAUUGUUACUGUUAUCGUGUUUUCCUUUGUGUGUGUUAAAUUCUUUGGUUCAAUGAAUAAGGAUUUACAGAUUAAGAAUUCCUGAGUAUGUUGAAUCCCAUAUGCAAACUUGGUUGCCUUUUUGAAAUGGCAUUUUAUUAAGCUAAUAGUAAGAUCAAGCUAUAACUGUAGGAUUUGCAACAGAAUCCCUACAGAGGCAUAUUUUUUUUUUUUUGAGACAGAGUCUCACUCUGUUGCCCAGACUGGAGUGUUGCGGUGCAAUCUCGGCUCACUGCAGCCUCCGCCUCCCAGGUUCAAGUAAUUCUCCUGCCUCAGCCUCCUGAGUAACUGGGACUACAGGCAUGAGCUACCAUGCCGGGCUAAUUUUUUUUAUUUUUAGUAGAGAUGGGGUUUCACCAUGUUGGCCAGGAUGGUCUCUAUCUCCUGACCUCAUGAUCUGCCCGCCUCAGCCUCCCAAAGUGCUGGGAUUACAGGCGUGAGCCACCACAUUCCAUUUUAUAUAUUUGGGAUGGAACAAUGUGUUACUACUAUUUGAUCUAGAGUCAGUGUUUAAUGGAGUUCCAGGAGUUCUGUUCCUACAGAGCCAUCCAAGGGCUGAAGGAUCACUGUCUUAUAUCACAUCCCUUCCCUACACAGCUGUAACCCUACCACAGCACACCUUCUCUGAUGCUCUGCUCCUGUAUCCCUAUUAGUUAAUUUUCAAACACUCAUGGAGGUUAGAUAUUACUAUUUUCCCUGUUAAACAUCUCAGGUUCACUUCAGAGGCAGGAAACAGCCCCAAUGAAUCAGAGCAGGAAAUCUUUUUGGAGCAAGUCUUGCAGACUCACUGCUGCAAUGUGGAGAGAUCUCAGGAGGCUCUAGAUGAGGUGUGAGUGGCUGUGGUAGGAAAGAGGAUCCCACUGAGUGGUUUUAGGUGAGAACUACCAAUGAAUGAGGAAGUAUUAAUAUAUCAUAUUUCAUUCAAUCUCAAAAGGCAUCAAUCGUAGAAUGAAUCAUUAUUUUGCUUACUCCUGGUAAAAUGUCACCAACUACAUUGUCACAGUUUUUCUCAUCACUGAGAAUUGUUAGGUUAUUCCAUUGAAAGAACUGCUUUCAGACAUUGAAAUAUAUAUUUCUAUCAUGUAUCAUUUUUGUGCAUAUACAGAAUAAGAAAAUUAAUUGGUUAAGGUAUUUCUAAAAUUUCUUUACAUUAAGAAUCUCAGUCUUCUGAAUCACUUUUCAACAUAGUCAUUAAUUUCUGUAUUUUUCCAUACAACAUUAUUAUCUAUCAUCAAGACAUAGCUAAUAUAAUGUUUUCUAAAAGAGUGCUUCACUAUUAACUCUGGUAUUUUUUUCCCAAGGCAAUAUUCUGCCAGCUUUUUCUCAAGAUGCAUAGAAACGUGAAGCAAGUGACAGCCACAUCACCAAUUUUAUCCAUAAUUACAAAAUGCAGCCCUAUUUCAGUGAUGUUCAAAGGUAACAAAGAAAAGUUUAUCUUAGACCUGAUAAAAUAUGAUAAAUUCAAUAUGCUUAACAGCUUGUAUGACAGGUCUGCUGAUGAUCAGCUUUGCCUGCAUAUUCAUUAUAGCUUGUGUUUACAUAGUUCAUUUUGUGUGAGGAUAUCAGAAUAUUUUUAAAAUAUUAAUAAUGCAUAGUCUAUUCAUAAAUAUUUAAAACCUAUAAGUGAUAUUAUGUUCAUCUCAGAAAUUUGGCAAAGAUUAAAAUUUCAUUGUUUAUCUACUAAGAGCCAGAAUGAAUAUUACUAAUCAAUAGAAUUUAAGAUUAAUUUGUGAAUAAAGUUUGUGAGUCUAAUUCUGGUAAUCUGACUGGAUAUGGUAAAUGAAAAAAAAUCAAAAUUAUAGCCAAAAGUUUAAAAACUAUAACAAAGGAAAAUAAAGCUGUUGUUGUAAAAACUAAUACAAUAGCACAAAGUUGGUUUUUUUAAAGAGAAAAAAUUUGAGAAAUGUUAGAUACAUUUAAAAAGUCGUGUAAGGGCAUGAAACUAAGGGGUCAAUGGAAGGAACUGUUUCAUGUGGGACAGCAUUCUAAAGCAAUCCAAAUGAUAAAACAAUUCAAGGAAGUAUUAAAAUAUCAAUAUGUAAGUACAUUCCAGAAAUAAGAAAAAGCAAUAAUGAUACAGAAUUUUGAAUCAGUAAUAGAAAGUACAAUAUUAAGAAUAUCAUGGAAUGUGGGGAAAGAGAAGCAAGUGAUUAAGUUGAAAGAGAUAAACAUGACAGAUACAUGGAGAAAGAAACAAGAAGACACAGAAUCACCAAUGAUAUUAAUAAAGAUGCUAUACUGCAUUGAGGAAAAUAUGUUUACUUACUGAAAAUGUUUACAAAUUCAAGACCAAUUAAUAAGAAAAGAUAUAUAUCAUAUAUAUCAUAUAUGUAUCAUAUAUAUCAAUCAUAUAUACCAU